GAGCAAUGAAAGGCUCAUCUGGUGAGAAAGGGGAUCUCCCCAUUGUGAAGUCACCUGAGCUCUGAGUCUUCAGUGGAGGGACAGGUUUGGACUGUUGGUAGAUGCUAUAACUCCCAUUGAUCAGACAAGAAAAUUGAGACUCAGAAGAGAGAAGUGACUUAUCCAAGAUUAAAUGCUGGCAACAUUUAUUGGCCAUUGUGAACUGGGUGUGAUAGUCCUGCCCCAUCAUACAAUGAUAAUUGGGGGAAAAUACUGACGUCCAAUCUCAUUAAUCAUUUGGCACCUGUGGGGAAGAUGCCAUUAUUAUCCCAUGUUGCAGACGAGGAAAGAGGACCCAGAGGAAGUAAUGUGACUAGGGCCACACGGCUUCGAAGUGGAUCACGAUGGUUAGAGUUUUGAGGCUGCGUCUUCGCCAUGGGACUUCCCUGUCAGCCAGAUGUGGGAAGCAAGACAGAGGUUUAACAACAUGCUCAAAGUCUCACAACUGGAAAAUAAUGGAUCCACGAUGUCAAAUCCAGUCCGGACUGCCCAGCUCUUAUCCGCUAUCUUACCACAGCCUGCAGAUACCAUGGGCUUCAGUUAUCAGGAAUCUUCUUUGAAUGCUGGAAGGAGGGCUCUGAAGAAUUUGAGACAUGUCCCACAGCAACCUCACAACCAAAUAAUAAUAUAGAAGAACCUUUGUCAGGAAGUUAUAUGGGUGUGAAAUUGUCUAAUAUAGUGAAUCUCUAUAAUACUCAAAGGAAACCCAGGAAGCUUGAAAAAUAAUUUAAAUUCUUUAUAUAUCACCUACUGUAUGUGAAAAGAGACAUAGAAGAAACAUGAGAACCUCUAACCUCUCUGCAAGAAUCAGACUGGAAUAUAAGCUACUUAGGUCAUUUCUUCUGGAGAAAGAAAGAUGAUUCAUGAAGGAACCAAAAGCCUAUAGGGUAGACUCAAGAGUCAUGAGAAUUGUCUCAAGAAGCAGGACUGGGGUGGAAUAUGAGCCCUGGAAACAAACGUCUGCUUAGAUUUCAAAAUUUCUCUAGAUUAGUGACUGCAACGUGCCUCUUAGUUUGUCUCUUUUUAAACAGGAGUGUCUAUGAUGAUUCUCCUGUCUUGUUCCAGCAUUGCAUACUGGGUGUGCAGGGCCCAUAUAACUUUGUGUUUAGUUCCUAGGUCUUUAGAUUGAGAUAAACUGUACCUAAGGAGCCACACCUGAAGAGCCUCACCAUUCCUGGUAAUAGUUUAUAUGUAACCUCUUAGACUUUGAGCUGAUGCUUUAAUGUGAUGCUUAGGAAGUCUUGGAAGGCAGAGAGCAUAUUUUGGAUUUAGGAGGAAUGUAAAUGAUUUGUGGUCAGAGAAUGGACUAUAGAUGAUUAAGAAUGGCCACAGAUUUUGUAAUACUCCUCCAUUUGGGAGAUGGGCUCUGUUUUUCUCCUCCUGAAUCAGAGCUGACCUGUGGCUGCUUGGACUGAUGGAGCGUGGGGAAAUGAUGCUUUUGACUUCUGCCUAGCAUUUGAGAGGGCAAAAAGCAUCUGCCUUAGUCUUUUGGAUCCUUGAAUGCACCCUAUGAGAUUGACCACAUGGAGAGAUCUGGCGACUGCAUGGAGAGAGAGAAGCAUUCAGCUAAAUUCAGUCUUCAAGCCAACCUGAGGAAGAUCCACGCAUGUCCUUGGUAUUUCUACGGGAGCAUGUGUGCAUUGCUGCAAUUCUGCCAAGGGGGAUAAAAACACCCAGGAUCUCUUCUUAAACUUCUUCAUGCCUAAUGAUCCGAAAGGAGAUAUCCAGUCUUUGUGGCCGAGGGGUGUUAUUCAAAUAAACAGAAAAAUAAAGAGUAGCCCGAAGGCAUAUAGAAGCUCCGAGAGCCCACACUGACGGAGAUCACCAUUUGGCCAACCUCAUAGGAAAGUAAACCACUUUUAUGUUCUUUCA